rnacentral:rRNA from 1 species
AUUGAACGCUGGCGGCAUGCCUUACACAUGCAAGUCGAACGGCAGCACGGGAGCAAUCCUGGUGGCGAGUGGCGAACGGGUGAGUAAUAAAUCGGAACGUGCCCAGUCGUGGGGGAUAACGCAGCGAAAGCUGUGCUAAUACCGCAUACGAUCUACGGAUGAAAGCGGGGGAUCGCAAGACCUCGCGCGAUUGGAGCGGCCGAUAUCAGAUUAGCUAGUUGGUGGGGUAAAGGCCGACCAAGGCGACGAUCUGUAGCUGGUCUGAGAGGACGACCAGCCACACUGGAACUGAGACACGGUCCAGACUCAUACGGGAGGCAGCAGUGGGGAAUUUUGGACAAUGGGCGCAAGCCUGAUCCAGCAAUGCCGCGUGCAGGAUGAAGGCCUUCGGGUUGUACACUGCUUUUUUACGGAACGAAACGGCCCUUUCUAAUACAGGGGGCUAAUGACGGUACCGUAAGAAUAAGCACCGGCUAACUACGUGCCAGCCGCCGCGGUAA